CAUUGAGUAAGUUUUACUAAGACGGCAUGUUCUGGCCUUAUCGUAAUCAAAACCAAACUUAAAUAUAAUGGAAAUGAUUUCAUAAAAAAUCACUCAUCCUAUAACUGACAGUACAACACUUGUCCUAUACUAACAGUAGAACUUGAUAGCAAUCAUGUCUUUUUCUAUUACGCUAAAGUUU